GACGAACGCUGGCGGCGUGCUUAAUACAUGCAAGUAGAACGCAGUUGCGAACGGGUGAGUAACGCGUAGGUAACUGCCUCAUAGCGUGGGCUAACUAUUGGACACGAUAGCUAAUACCUCAUACUGUGACAUGGACCUGCGUUGUAUUGGCUAGUUGGGGUGGUAAAGGCGCACCAGGGCGACGAUACAUAGCCGACCUGAGAGGUUGAUCGGGCAGAACGGGACUGAGACACGGCCCAGACUCCUACGGGCGGCAGCAGUAGGGAAUCUGCGGCAAUGGACGGAAGUCUGACCGAGCAACGCCGCGUGAGUGAAGAAGGUUUUCGGGUCGUAAAGCUCUGUUGUUAGAGUAGCGGGAACUAACCAGAAAGGGGCGGCUAACUACGGGCCGGCAGCCGCGGUAAUAC
rnacentral:rRNA from 1 species